AAUCAACGCUGGCGGCGUGCCUCAGACAUGCAAGUCGAACGAUUAAAGCUCUCUUCGGGAGAGUGCAUAGAGUGGCGCACGGGUGAGUAACACGUAAGUAAUCUACCCUCGAGUGGGGAAUAACGUCCGGAAACGGACGCUAAUACCGCAUAAUGCAGCGGCACCGCAAGGUGACAGUUGUUAAAGGAGAAAUUCGCUUGAGGAGGAGCUUGCGGCAGAUUAGCUUGUUGGUAAGGUAACGGCUUACCAAGGCUACGAUCUGUAACCGGUCUUAGAGGACGGUCGGUCACACUGACACUGAAUAACGGGUCAGACUCCUACGGGAGGCAGCAGUCGGGAAUUUUGGGCAAUGGGCGAAAGCCUGACCCAGCAACGCCGCGUGAAGGAUGAAGUA
rnacentral:rRNA from 1 species